GUACUCGCUACGGCAGUACAUAUACUAAAAUUGGAACGAUACAGAGAAGAUUAGCAUGGCCCCUGCGCAAGGAUGACAAGUCCUUUAUCUUGGGGUGAUCCUCAGUAAA